AGGUACACCUCGGAAUCUACAAGUGGGGGCUCCCCUUUGAAUAUCUGGCUGUUUAUAUCAGUUAGCUGGGCAACUGUGAGGUUCCAGUUUGCUUGUUUGAACCUUCAGGUGCUCUCCGUUUAACUUUCGAAUUACCAGGAUCCUGACCCUCCUAUGGCAGAGAGCUGACCAUUUUGUUUUUUAGAGUAUUCUCCUCCUUCUGGACUUUGUUUGUGAAAACUGAUGAAGAUGUGGGAAAGAGAGAUAGGUGUAGAAAUAGACCUUCGAGUCUGGAGCAGAGCAGUUUUUCUUACAAAGAUGCCUGAAUACAUUGCAAAUAUGGAGCAGAAAGAAGUGAGGGAAAGUCAAGAGAAUCAGAUC